ACUGUGAUGAUGAGUUGCUAACAUGUAAGAAUAAGUCACUUUUGUAGUGGUAUCUUCAAUGAAAUAUAUUUGUUACACUUGACUUCUAAGCCUU